rnacentral:rRNA from 1 species
UACGUAGGGGGCAAGCGUUGUCCGGAAUCAUUGGGCGUAAAGAGCGUGUAGGCGGCCCGGUAAGUCCGCUGUGAAAGUCCAGGGCUCAACCCUGGGAUGCCGGUGGAUACUGUCGGGCUCGAGUCCGGAAGAGGAGUGUGGAAUUCCUGGUGUAGCGGUGGAAUGCGCAGAUAUCAGGAGGAACACCGGUGGCGAAGGCGGGUCUCUGGGCAGUAACUGACGCUGAGGAGCGAAAGCGUGGGGAGCGAACAGG